GUCUCAUGGUAGGCUGACGAUCACUGGCUGGUCCAAGCUGGCCUCAUUUGGACGAUCACUUCUGCUCUGCAUGUCAUUGCCUUUGUCAACAGCCACCCUGAGAGUUGCCAUGUGACAAUGGUAUAGGUGGGAGAGAGAGAAAAGAAUCACCAACCACUCCUGAAGGAUCAGCUUGGAAACUGGCUCCCUGUCAUCUCUUCUGGAGAUACCCAAGUGCUUGAGGUGAAAAGCUUGAAACCAGAGCAACCUUCAGGACUCGGAGGAGGAAGAUGUUGGCAGGGAAGGCUUGUCACCUCAGCAGACCCCAGGGUGCAGGAGUCUACACCAGUUUUUGGAAAUUGCCCCGGGGAAGAAAGGUGCUCUAAUCGAUCAUUCAGUUGUAGAAAUACGAGUUCCUUAUUUACAAAGACAGAAGAAUGAAGACUUGUCCCCCAUCUCCCAGCACCUCAACUGUCAACUGAUGAAUCCGAGCUCAUUUGCUGAAGGGAAAAACCAACCAGUGAAUCUCAACUCCAUCCUUCUACCACUCGGGCCUUAACUCUAGUGCCAGACAAGAGAAAGGGAAAAAUUCUUGGAACCUCUAGAGCUAGCCACACUUGAAAAAGAGAAGAGCUAGAUGUCUUUUGAACAAUCCUGUCUGCUUCACCAGUAGGACUGCUCUGUAUCAGUGCCUAAGUUCCUCCCUAUGGGGUCUCCUUCUUGUCUUAGAGUCGGUUAAGGGGAAUCCCCAAUGCCUUUCUCCCUGUUGCUCAUGAAGGACACUGCUGGUUGACCACAGCUCUUUCCCAUGCUGCCCAGAGCUCUGGACAACAGUCACAUCUUUGCCAUUAUGGAACUAGCUAGCAAUCAUGCCUCAUGCUGUCACCUGUAAGAAGGGAGAGUAUUUACUCCCAUAGCCCAUGAACAGAGUCUACAGCUGUGGACUGUCCAGAGACCAGAUAACCAGUGAUUCAGAAGCCUGGCUGCAGAUCUGGUCGCUUGAAUAAAAAUGGCCCACGUGCCUAGAGGGAGUGGCA
rnacentral:lncRNA from 1 species